GAUGAACGCUGGCGGCGUGCCUAAUACAUGCAAGUCGAGCGAACAGACGAGGAGCUUGCUCCUCUGACGUUAGCGGCGGACGGGUGAGUAACACGUGGAUAACCUACCUAUAAGACUGGGAUAACUUCGGGACACCGGAGCUAAUACCGGAUAAUAUAUUGAACCGCAUGGUUCAAUGGUGAAAGACGGUUUUGCUGUCACUUAUAGAUGGAUCCGCGCCGCAUUAGCUAGUUGGUAAGGUAAAGGCUUAGUAAGGCAACCAUGCGUAGCCGACCUGAGAGGGUGAUAGGCCACCCUGGAACGGAGACACGGUCCAGACUCCUACGGGACGCAGCAGUAGGGAACCGUACGCAAUGGGCGAAAGCAUGACGGAGCAACGCGGCGUGAGUGAUGAAGGUCUUGGGAGCGUAAAAACGUGUUAUUAGGGAAGAACAAAUGUGUAAGUAAAUAAGCACGUAUUGACGGUACCUAAUCAGAAAGCCCCGGCUAACUACGUG
rnacentral:rRNA from 1 species